CGGCGUGCUUAACACAUGCAAGUCGAACGAGGAAAUUGACUUCGGUUGUAUUUUCGAGUGGCGGACGGGUGAGUAACGCGUGAGCAAUCUGUCCUACAGGAGGGGGAUAACAACUGGAAACAGUUGCUAAUACCGCAUAAGACCACGACGUCGCAUGACGAUGAAGGUAAAAGGAAGAAAUCCGCUGGUAGGGUGAGCUCGCGUCUGAUUAGAUAGUUGGUGAGGUAACGGCUCACCAAGUCGACGAUCAGUAGCCGAACUGAGAGGUUGAUCGGCCGCAUUGGGACUGAGACACGGCCCAGACUCCUACGGGGAGGCAGCAGGUGGGGGAAUAUUGCACAAUGGGGGAAACCCUGAUGCAGCAACGCCGCGUGAUUGAAGAAGUAUUUCGGUAUGUAAAGAUCUAUCAGCAAGGAAGAAAAUGACGGUACUUGACUAAGAAGCCCCGGCUAACUACGUG
rnacentral:rRNA from 1 species